AAUGCCAAAGAAACUUUGAAGCAGAGAAAACCCUCAGCAGUUCCUCGCAGAUUCCCUGCCGAAUGCCCCCAUCAUGCACUGAAAGAUUUGCUUAGGCUUUACGUAAAACACUGCCUUGAUUCAAAUAAUGAGGUCCACAAAACCAUAACACUAAAUAUCUAUUCCGGUAUAUUCUGCAGGCAGGUCACAGUUGUCAGCAAGUGCCAGAAGAGAGAUAGCUUUCCACUUCCUAAGGUCUGCCCACUAAAUUGUGCCCAGGAUCCCAUAAAUCUUCAGCGAGGAGAGCUAAGAGCAUAAGUUCACAGGGACAGAAACUUUUUUGUUGGAAGUAUGUGGAAUGUAAAUAAGGAGAGGAGUCCCUCCCUAAGCUGAGCUUUCCUGGGUUGACAUGACCUCCAUGAGUCAGGAGACAGAGACUUCCCAGUGAUUGUCUAGACAGCAACACGCUCCAGCCCAGCUUUGUGUGGCAAAGGCCAGUGCUGAGACAUCCUGGCAAGCCUGAAAGAGCUUUUCAGGAGGAAGCUGGAAGAAGGUUUGGUGGCUGCCCUACCCCUUGUGUAGGAAUGGCUGCAGAGCUGAGGCUGCCACACUUGACCACAGACCACCUGAGCUGUGCUGUCACCACACUGCAGGUGCCUGUGCCCGGCCACUGACCCCAUUGACCCAGACCCAGACUGACUUCCCAGUCUGACACAGGAACUGCCUCAUCCCUGGGAUCUCGCCUGGUGACCUCUGCACUCUACCAGACCUCUGCCCAGACCUCUACCAGACCUCUGCUCAGACCCAGCUACUGGCUCUGGGCCUGCCUUAAGCAAGAGUCACUGACUGGUGUUAUGGGCUUCACUUCAGCCCUGCCUCAUCACCACAAACUUGUCUGACUUCUUCAGUGAACCUGGGCAAGCUCCAUUCUUCUCAGAACCUUGUUCCUGUCCCCAGACCCGCCCUGCUUGGAUCCUGAGGGAUGUGGUCCAGGCUGGUGAGCCCCCCAUGCUGCCAGGCUUGUUAGCAUGCUCUGCCCUGACUCCCCGGGGCUGAUGGCCAACCAUCCCUUGCUGGGGCUGACGGUCACACUGGAACUGGGAGUACAGACCGGAUGCCCAAAAAAUAAAGGUCUGGCACCGUGUUAGAGCCCUGCUGAGUUGGAAAAAGAAUCCAAGAGCAUCCUGUUAAGUGGUAAGAAAUACUAUUUUGUACUUGAACACUGUAGCCCUUGUGAGGGAUGCUGGCACAGAAGCAAAGUAAAACCUCUCAAACAGUCAUUCCAAAAGCAGAAUUUAUACUCCUUCAGCCUGACAUUGGGUAAAAGAGAACCUCAGCUCCCCGCAACAGUUUGUGGUGUGGGAUGAUCCCACACAACAGGAACAGACUGCCAAUGUUCUGACUAGUCUGAUCACAAAGGAAGUCUUCUGGCCAUCAAAGUUUAGUGCUGGGCCAGUUAAACAGCAAUUGAACAUAAGCAGUAAAUUACAAUAUCACCCUGUAGUGAUAUUAAAAGCAAAGUCACAUAUACAAGAAAAAUACAAGAUUUCGGGCACUGUGACUGAAGUUUAACAUUAAUGAUAAAAUACACUAAUUUUGACAAGUGGUACACUGUAAUACAUAUACAGAGAUGAAGACAAUCUCCAAAAUGCUCGAAUCUUCCAUUCAAUCAACAUAUUCUGAGCACUGUGAGUUCUUAACAGUUUUUUCAGAUACAGUCAUCUAGAGGCAGCAUGAUCCUGAGCAUCAACUGAGAACACUCAGUGCUAUGCUGUAUCUAACAUUUAUUAUAGAUUAUAACCUAUAUCUUGACACUAAUAUUUGACAAGUGAGCAACUUUAUAAAUUUGGAUUGUCUGAUCCUGAUUUACCAAUUUUAAAGUUGUCCCAUGCAUACAUACAGUUGUCCCUUUUCUGAAAGAUAAUAGAAUACAUUUUCUUCCUUCUGUUAGUUCAUAACUCAAAAUAAUAUCAUCCAUCAAAUCCUGAUACUUGAUUCAGCCAUCAAAACUUGCAUUUCCCACAAGUGAUGCACCAAAUUCUACGAACCAUGGCCUGACAAAAGAAGGGGAAAAUUGAGGAAAAUAGAGGCCAACUAAUUGUCCUUCAUACUUUUCCACUGCAACACAUAGCUCAUUAAAUACAUCACUUAAACCACUCUGGCUACAUGAAACGAGUCAGAGCCACAGGUGCAGAGCCCUGCAGACAGUUGUUGCUGAACUGAUGGUGUAACCUGCUUCUAGCCCUGCCCUGCCACAACAGUCUGUGACUUCUCCUCUAGUGCUGCACACAACUGCAAGUACAGCAAAACACAGCACGGAGAAAUCCAACCUCCCUGAGUGUCUCUAUGGCCAGGAAGGACAUGAGAAAGCCCAGCUAGCUCACACAAAAGGCACGGUAGCCCCCUGGGUAAGGUGGCCCCUCGGCCCCCAAAACACAAGCAAUUCAAGUUCUUGCACAGCAGGUCAGCAAAAAGGAAUGUCUGCAAACACUGCCACAAUAGAUUUUGAGUUAUAAUUUAAACUUUCUCCUUCCCCCAAUCUUGGCAUUUCAAUUGCAGCUCAAUAGGAACUUUUUUUUCCCUGCAAUUCCAGAUCUGAAUUAGUCUGUCUGUACCUUCCAUGCCCAGAGCAAAAAGACCUAGACGGGAUGAGCCAGUAUGUGCAAUGUACAUGACCUCUUUGGAGUUAAGUAUUGAGUUUGAGCAGUGAUCCCUGAAUCACUUACUAUGCCACAAUAAGAAUCCUUGAGAUUAAUCAAACCAUCAAAAGAAAACUGUGUAUGCACCAGGCUUUCUUCCCAAAUGACACAGCACUGACCUUUUUCCAAAAAAUAAAAAUCAAAAAUUAACAAAGCCUCCCCAUCAGUGACACAUUUCUUGGUAUGUUCAAGAGAACCUAAAAUAUAUGUAGGUACUGAGUCAUACUUUUUGAGCUCAAUUUACCAAUAAAUUAGAUUGAUGACUAGGUUGAAAAAUUAAUCAUUUCUGAAAGAUAAUCAAAAUACAUCUAAGCUGAGCGCUUUACUGUACCAAUAUAAAAAAAAAAAUUGUUAUUGCUUUUGCUUGCCAUUUAAUACAGUGGAAUAAAAUUCCCUGCACUAUAGCCUCAACACACAACUUGACUGUCUCAUUAUAAAUAUAUGUUUUGGCUUCAUCCUCAUCUACUAUUUUGUUGAUUAAUUCUUCUGUUUCUAGAAAGGAAAAAGCAGUCUAUUGUCAAAAACUGAAUAUCCAAUUCAACUGUUUUCUCUUAAGUAUAUCCAAAAUAUAAUAAAAGCACUGAUUAAAUAUAUCUUUCCAUUAGAGUGUAACUAGCACCUUGACACUAUACAACAAAACUAUUACUGCAAGUGAACAGGCGUGGAGAAGUCUGCA